UUUUUUGAGGAACUUUUUUUUUGAGGAUUAGUCUCACUCGACAGAUUGUAUAAGUAGCAGUCAAUAUUUUUUAAGUCGAUAAGCAAUCAGAUCGAACUAACAGUUUCCCAACAUUGUUCCUAGAAAAAAAAACUCCCUCUAUCCUAAAAUAAGUGUCUUAAGCUUAGUACAAUUUUGUGUUUGCUCAAAAAAAGCUUAAUACAACUUUAUACUAGAGCUAGUACAAAGUCGAUAAGCAAUCAGACCGAGGGAGUAGCAGCCUAUCAAUCUUAAAAUGCAACCCCUAUACUAAACAGGAAGGUCAUUCCAAUAUGAUGUAUGUGAGAAAAUUGAGACCAAGGCCGUACGGAAGUCAAGAAUGGGACCAGGAAACUUCUGGGUUGUCGAGGAGAUGUUACUUUCUCUAACAUUAGUGACACUGAUCCUAGUGAGAAUAACUGUCAAGGAGUAUGAGGAGAGGGGCCAAUCUUUAGUGCCUUGGUGGCCCUUUCUUUCUGGCUCGUCACCCCUGAGGUUCCCUGUAACAAAAGUGGAAAACAUGGUACCCUUUUAACAACUGGACAGCGAUUUAUUUGAAAGCACAAAUAUGAGGGCUUGUUACAAUGAUACCUGAGCGCGUGUCCAAGUUAUAUUUAAGAAGUCGAUAGGCAAUCAGACCGAACUAACAGUUUCCCAACAUUUCUGCAUCAAGGUUAGUAACAUAAGUGAUAUCAAUUAGAACCCUUUAGGUAGUUCCCUGUAACUGUUCACGCAAAACUAGACUAACAGCCUUAUAUGCCAUGAGCUCCCAAGUACAAAAGCAAUAUUGUACACAUAUAUACUUUGUUUUCAUAGGGCUGAUAAAUUGAAGAGAUUAAGUUUUUCGUAGCAAUACUUGUACACAUAGAUACUUGUGUUGAACUAUGUACUUCGUUGCUACUUUGUUUAAUAAAAUGGACGUGUGCAUCACCUGAUGCAGAACCCGUGGGUAAAACCUCCUUCUAGAAAAAAAUCAAUCACAUCGAAGUAGAUGAACACAUGUGCUCAACAAAAAUUUAGCCAAAGACACAUCGAUUGUUGGUGCUGGUACUGGUAGUAUAAACUCUUUUAAGUGAAGGCCUAAGCCAAAAAAAAAAAGAUGCUGGGCAGUGGCACAAGUUGGGAUAAACCAGGCAGGUGGGAGGGCCACGUGGAGGAAACCAGCUGCCGCCUGCCAAGGAAAACAGCCCAGGUGGUGUGUCGUGUGUACACCGACAGCCGAGAAGCAGAACGUGCUAAAAAUUAGAAGUAAAAUGUGGCACAAUUUCCUUUAAAUGGGUUAAAACGGAUGAAAAUCUCUUAAAUAGAGUAAUUCCUGUCAAAAAUGUCACAGGAAGGGGUAUAAACCGGAAUUUAUUAUACAUAAGACAAACUUCAUUUGGAAGCAAGAAAAGGCAUCAACAGAAAGUAUAUGGAAUAGUGUUUCCAACUCUAAUUAACCAACUUCAAAACCUACAAAACUGGUCACUGAACAAACACGUUAUAUCCCCAAAGAUGCAGAGUAGAAAAAUUUAGCAGUUUCAGUUUUUCCUGGAAAUCUGAUUCUUUGUUUUUUUAGGAACAAGUUGAUUCUUGUAUGAACAAAAUAUAUUGUCGACGUCCUAUAGAAGAUCCAGAUAGUGGUGUUGUGCUAACCAACGACGCGUACCCUACCUUAGGGAACAUGUGUCACCUCUAUAAGUAUAGAAAAAUAUACAGGUCUUGCAACCCUUUCCUUUGUAUCAGACCUUCCCUCUUUCUUUCGCUUGGCAUGCUAGUUCUUAGAAGUUAUACCUUUAGGUGUGCCUUGCUGCAGCACAUUGGAACCCUUCUGUGCUUGAUGAACAACCAACGAUGCUUGAUCUCAUCCCCUAACUCGGAGUAAAGGUGAAAAUGGACAUGUACACAAACUCUAUUAAAUAAGACUAGUGGAGCAUGUCAUGUGCCAUGAACAAACUUACCGGCAGAACUAAUGAAUCAUACUUUUAUCAUUCUUUCUAUGCAUACUUUUAACAGUUCCAAUUCUGCCUCCCUGUUUUCGAGCAAUAGCUUGGUUUUGCUUUUCCUUGAAGCAACUUUGAGAGACAAAAGUUCAGAAUUUUUGGCAUCAUAUUGUCAUCCAACAAUAUAUUUUCAUGUUUGAGAUCUAAGUGAAUAAUACAAUUCGUGUGAAGAUAAGGUAAAUCCUUGCAAAUUCCUUGAUUAUUUGUUAGCGCUUUCUUCAUGCAGAUUAAUGCGUCUACAAAAAGAAAAAGGAAGUUCCAUAUUUAGGAUAAUUGAAGCUUUUAAUCUUCAUAAGCACUACAUAAUAGACAAUAAUGUAGUGAGUAAUUUCAAAUUGUAUGUGUGAGGUGCUUGAAAUAGAUAUAUUUUUCUUGAACAAUAAAAGAUGGAAUGCAAUGUUGCGUCCCACAUGAUCUUACCUAUCAUAUUGACAUGAAGACCUCAUAUAGGUAGAUACUCACAAGCAGAGCAGUGGUGCUUAUUCAUCUGUCUUCACAGAUUUUUUGGAUGUAUCUUUCCAUAUUUCAUUAUGUGUGAACACAAUAUCUCAGCAUUCAAACAAUAUAUUUGUGCUAUGUCUUUAUCCGUUCAACCUCACUUCUUCCCAUUCAUAUGUGUGUUCGAGAAUAUUCUCACUUCUUCUCAUUCAUAUGCGCGUUCGAGAACUUCAUUGUGAAUAUCAUAUGCACAAUCAUCCUGCAGUUGCAAUAUGCCUUAUCAGUAUCAACUUGAGCUUCAAAAUUAACCGUGGUUAUGAACGAGACAGCCAAAAGUUAUCAUACCUGAAUGUAGAGAGCGCUAUCAAAUAAUCAAAGGAAUUUGCGGGGGUUUACAUUAUCUUCACGAGAGCCGAAUUUUUCACUUAGAUCUCAAACCUGAAAAUGUAUUGCUCGAUAACAACACGGUGCCAAAAAUUACAGACUUUAGCCUCUCAAGAUGCUUCGAAGAAAAGAUUAAACCUAGGUCAACUAUCACUUCAAAGUUCCAGUAGCAUGCUCUCCAGCUCAUUUCUCCUAGUU
rnacentral:lncRNA from 1 species